rnacentral:rRNA from 1 species
AUGAACGCUGGCGGCGUGCUUAACACAUGCAAGUCGAACGAAGCAAUUUAGCGGAAGUUUUCGGAUGGAAGUUAAAUUGACUGAGUGGCGGACGGGUGAGUAACGCGUGGGUAACCUGCCUCACACUGGGGGACAACAGUUAGAAAUGACUGCUAAUACCGCAUAAGCGCACAGGACCGCAUGGUCCGGUGUGAAAAACUCCGGUGGUGUGAGAUGGACCCGCGUUUGAUUAGCUGGUUGGUGGGGUAACGGCCUACCAAGGCGACGAUCAAUAGCCGACCUGAGAGGGUGACCGGCCACAUUGGGACUGAGACACGGCCCAAACUCCUACGGGAGGCAGCAGUGGGGAAUAUUGCACAAUGGGGGAAACCCUGAUGCAGCGACGCCGCGUGAGUGAAGAAGUAUUUCGGUAUGUAAAGCUCUAUCAGCAGGGAAGAAAAUGACGGUACCUGACUAAGAAGCCCCGGCUAACUACGUGCCAGCAGCCGCGGUAAUACGUAGGGGGCAAGCGUUAUCCGGAUUUACUGGGUGUAAAGGGAGCGUAGACGGUAAAGCAAGUCUGAAGUGAAAGCCCGGGGCUCAACCCCGGGACUGCUUUGGAAACUGUUUAACUAGAGUGCUGGAGAGGUAAGCGGAAUUCCUAGUGUAGCGGUGAAAUGCGUAGAUAUUAGGAGGAACACCAGUGGCGAAGGCGGCUUACUGGACAGUAACUGACGUUGAGGCUCGAAAGCGUGGGGAGCAAACAGGAUUAGAUACCCUGGUAGUCCACGCCGUAAACGAUGAGUGCUAAGUGUUGGAGGGUUUCCGCCCUUCAGUGCUGCAGCUAACGCAUUAAGCACUCCGCCUGGGGAGUACGACCGCAAGGUUGAAACUCAAAGGAAUUGACGGGGGCCCGCACAAGCGGAGGAACAUGUGGUUUAAUUCGAUGAUACGCGAGGAACCUUACCCGGGCUCAAACGCACGACGGCGGCACGUGAAAGCGUGCUUACCUACGGGACGUUGUGCGAGGUGCUGCAUGGUUGUCGUCAGCUCGUGUCGUGAGAUGUUGGGUUAAGUCCCGCAACGAGCGCAACCCUUAUCCUAAGUAGCCAGCGGUUUGGCCGGGCACUCUUGGGAGACUGCCAGGGAUAACCUGGAGGAAGGUGGGGAUGACGUCAAAUCAUCAUGCCCCUUAUGAUUUGGGCUACACACGUGCUACAAUGGCGUAAACAAAGAGAGGCGAGACCGCGAGGUGGAGCAAAUCUCAAAAAUAACGUCUCAGUUCGGACUGCAGGCUGCAACUCGCCUGCACGAAGCUGGAAUCGCUAGUAAUCGCGAAUCAGAAUGUCGCGGUGAAUACGUUCCCGGGUCUUGUACACACCGCCCGUCACACCAUGGGAGUCAGUAAUGCCCGAAGUCAGUGACCCAACCGAAAGGAGGGAGCUGCCGAAGGCAGGACCGAUAACUGGGGUG